UACGGAGGGUGCAAGCGUUAUCCGGAUUCACUGGGUUUAAAGGGUGCGUAGGAGGGCAGGUAAGUCAGUGGUGAAAUCUCCGAGCUUAACUUGGAAACUACCGUUGAUACUAUCUGUCUUGAAUACCGUGGAGGUGAGCGGAAUAUGUCAUGUAGCGGUGAAAUGCUUAGAUAUGACAUAGAACACCAAUUGCGAAGGCAGCUCACUACACGCAUAUUGACUCUGAGGCACGAAAGCGUGGGGAUCAAACAGG
rnacentral:rRNA from 1 species